CAAAAAAUAGUUUAAAAAAAAUAUUAAUUUUGGAGAUUAAAGAUAUAAUAAAUAAAUUAUUUUUUUGA
rnacentral:tRNA from 1 species